CCUACGGGUGGCAGCAGUGAGGAAUAUUGGUCAAUGGGCGUGAGCCUGAACCAGCCAAGUAGCGUGAAGGAUGACUGCCCUAUGGAUUGUAAACUUCUUUUAUAAGGGAAUAAAGUGCGGCACGUGUACUGUUUUGUAUGUACCUUAUGAAUAAGGAUCGGCUAACUCCGUGCCAGCAGCCGCGGUAAUACGGAGGAUCCGAGCGUUAUCCGGAUUUAUUGGGUUUAAAGGGUGCGUAGGCGGGGUGUUAAGUCAGUGGUGAAAGUUUGCGGCUCAACCGUAAAAUUGCCGUUGAUACUGGGAGGCUUGAGUACAGUUGAGGUAGGCGGAAUGCGUGGUGUAGCGGUGAAAUGCUUAGAUAUCACGAAGAACUCCGAUUGCGAAGGCAGCCUGCCAAACUGUGACUGACGCUGAUGCUCGAAAGUGUGGGUAUCAAACAGGAUUAGAUACCCUUGUAGUC
rnacentral:rRNA from 1 species